rnacentral:rRNA from 1 species
GACGGAAGGUGCAAGCGUUGCUCGGAAUCACUGGGCGUAAGCGCGCGCAGGCGGCACACCAAGUACGCAGUGAAAUCUCCCUGCUCAACGGGGAGGGUGCUGAGUAAACUGGUGAGCUAGAGGACGGUAGAGGGGUGGAAUUGCUGGUGGUAGCGGUGAAUGCGCAGAUAUCAGGAGGAACACCGGUGGCGGAAGGCGGGUCUCUGGGCCGUAAGCUGACGCUGAGGAGCGAAAGCGUGGGGAGCGAACAGG